rnacentral:rRNA from 1 species
CCCGCCGGCGACCGGCGCACGGGUGAGUAACACGUAUGCAACCUGGCCGCCACAGGGGGAUAACCCGCGGAAACGCGGCCUAAUACCCCGUGACGCCACCGGAGGGCAUCCUCCGGUGGCCAAAGGAGCGAUCCGGUGGCGGAUGGGCAUGCGGCGCAUUAGCUAGACGGCGGGGUGACGGCCCACCGUGGCGACGAUGCGUAGGGGUUCUGAGAGGAAGGCCCCCCACACUGGGACUGAGACACGGCCCAGGCUCCUACGGGAGGCAGCAG